rnacentral:rRNA from 1 species
GCAGUAGCCGCGGUAAUACAGAGGGUGCAAGCGUUAAUCGGAAUUACUGGGCGUAAAGCGCGCGUAGGUGGUUCGCCAAGUCGGAUGUGAAAUCCCUGAGCUUAACUUAGGAAUUGCAUUCGAUACUGGGAAGCUAGAGUAUGGGAGAGGAUGGUAGAAUUCCAGGUGUAGCGGUGAAAUGCGUAGAGAUCUGGAGGAAUACCGAUGGCGAAGGCAGCCAUCUGGCCUAAUACUGACGCUGAGGUACGAAAGCAUGGGGAGCAAACAGGAUUAGAUACCCCAGUAGUCCCUGUCUCUUAUAC